GUUAACACAAGGAAAGAUAAUUCCCAGGGUAAAUAAUCCCAGCAUGGGACCCCCACACAUCCCGUGAAUGGAGAGUGCAGCCUGUGGACGUAGAGAAGAGACAUAAGCCUAAGGAACAGCUGGGGGAGCUUAAGCAAUUCUGAUUGCCAUCUGCAAGUUUCAGUGAGGGAGAAAGGACAAACAGUAACUUUGACACACCAUGAAAGAACUGCAAUCAAUAUCAACUUCUUGGAAAUGAUUACAUCCAGGAGACUCAACUAUAUCCAUAAGCUCAGACAGCACUAGUGGUGGUCUCUGUACCAGGAACUGGACCCCAUAAGGUGAUACGUUAGGGAGCAGAUCUUUUCAAGAGGAUGAUGGUCAAUUGCUCUCCAGAUGGUGACGGGAGACUCCACUUCAAAGGUCCUAAAAACAGCAUCUUUUGGCCCAAUCAGUGAAACGCGUGCUGGCUGCUCUCAAAUGCUUUGGUGCUUACGACUGUGAGUGAAGAAAAGCCUGCUUGCAAAUCCCCCUCAAACUCUGGUGUGCAUCCACUCCAAAGAGUCACCUGCAAGAUCCAGAGCCUUGGAUUUGGCAGUGGAGCCUCCUGUCAACAUCUGGUCCAAGUCAGGAGAGGAGGAGGAAUGACAAAUCAUAAGAACUGUACCUGAGACAAGAGCCAACCCCACAGUGCCUCUGAAAGCAGAAAUUCCUGGUGCAACAAAGAUCAAGCACAUCGCAAAACUGUAUUCUGCAGAAGGAGCUUUGUGAGUUUUCUGUAUUGCUUAUCCGAGAAGGGCUGGAGGACUCGGAGGACUGUGCCCAUUCACAGCUCUGGUUUGAUCCUGAAAUCUGUGAAGAAACAGAAGGUUAUCAGAAUCUGUCAGCUUAAGCAUAAGCCAUUGCUGUAGUGUUGCUGAUGAGAGUAACUACGAUGAAAAUAUCUGACCCUUCAACUCAGGUCUUGGUGCUUAAAGACCAUCCAGCUGGGUAAGUUACUCAGAAGUGUAAUGGGUCAACAGAAGUCACCUGGGACCAGAGCGCUGAAAGCAUCAGGGAACACUUGACAAAGGUACGUGCAUAGAGUACUUGUGGACGAUCCAUGCAUCCGUCUUUCCUAAAGGCACUGAGCUUUAGCUCAUAGUAGGACACUUUAAGAUGUCAGUUUGCACCCUUAGAUUCUUGGUUUCUUUGAAGAUAUGCCCAUUGGUCCCGUGUAAAAAUGGAAGCCUUGUAUUGACUGAGUUCGGUGGAACUACGUGGUGUGAUUUUCAAGUGUUACUUUCAAGGGAUAUGUGACAGAUUCUAGCUCUGAAAUAAUUCAUUCCUUGCCACUAGAGUCAGAUGUAGAAACACGAAAGUGAAAAAAGUCAUAUGAGUCACUGAGUCUAGUUUGCGUGCUACCACAGUGAAGCAUACAGCAUUUGAGGGAUGGGCCAAUGACUGUACAUAGAAGAAAAGCUCUAAAAGUUCCCAAGGGUUUCGUUCACAUACAGUCUCUCCACUCUUUCUAUCCUUUUAGAAGAACGUGCCAAAGAUGUCAUGCAGUUCCAUUCAUGCCCAGAUUCUUCUUAAAACCCUGCCCAAGCCAAAUCCUUGCAAAAGAAAGUGGGAGUGUUACUCUAUGCUUAUUCACUUUCUGAGGCACUGCUUAUAAUGUGAAUUGUAAGCAUCAGUAAAGAAACUAUAGUGGCAAACCAUGAUGGUAUUUUUAGCCACAAUAGAAUUCAAAUCCUAAUAGAAAAGUAGUAGCAGUAGUGUAAAACACAGUUUCUUGAAUAUGCUUCAGGCAGCUUGGCUUUGUACGUGCAGCAGUGAUCUUUUAGUUGAUCUCAAGCCUUCCCAUGGUAUGCAGCAUACCAAGAGGGUAAAUAUUUGCAGAGUGGUUACUUUCAAAGCAGAAGAUAGCAUGACUUAACAUGGAGAUUUACAGAAUAGCUCAUUCAGCUUGGUGGCUCUGUAUGUUGUCAUCUAAAGAAGUAAAACUAUGGUUCUUAAAAUCCAUGAUAAUGUUUCAUAUGAUAAAUAUGAGCAUGUUGGUAAAUAUUUCUGUCAAUUUUCAUUUCAGAAAAAUUGAAAUUAAAAUCAGAGUGCUGCUCUA